UACGAAGGGGGCGAGCGUUGUUCGGAUUUACUGGGCGUAAAGGGCGCGUAGGCGGCCUUGUCAGUCAGGCGUGAAAGCCCCGGGCUCAACCUGGGAACGGCGCUUGGGACGGCGAGGCUGGAGUUCGGGAGAGGAGAGUGGAAUUCCCAGUGUAGAGGUGAAAUUCGUAGAUAUUGGGAAGAACACCGGUGGCGAAGGCGGCUCACUGGCUCGUAACUGACGCUCAUGCACGACAGCGUGGGGAGCAAACAGG
rnacentral:rRNA from 1 species